rnacentral:rRNA from 1 species
GAUGAACGCUGGCGGCGUGCCUAAUACAUGCAAGUCGAGCGAACAGACGAGGAGCUUGCUCCUCUGACGUUAGCGGCGGACGGGUGAGUAACACGUGGAUAACCUACCUAUAAGACUGGGAUAACUUCGGGAAACCGGAGCUAAUACCGGAUAAUAUAUUGAACCGCAUGGUUCAAUAGUGAAAGACGGUUUUGCUGUCACUUAUAGAUGGAUCCGCGCCGCAUUAGCUAGUUGGUAAGGUAACGGCUUACCAAGGCAACGAUGCGUAGCCGACGUGAGAGGGUGAUCGGCCACACUGGAACUGAGACACGGUCCAGACUCCUGCGGGAGGCAGCAGUAGGGAAUCUUCCGCAAUGGGCGAAAGCUUGACGGAGCAACGCCGCGUGAGUGAUGAAGGUCUUCGGAUCGUAAAACUCUGUUAUUAGGGAAGAACAAAUGUGUAAGUAACUAUGCACGUCUUGACGGUACCUAAUCAGAAAGCCACGGCUAACUACGUG